rfam:Oryza barthii chromosome 3, whole genome shotgun sequence.
AAUAAGUUAUUUGUGGAUUUCUGUGUCUAAUAUUGACUGUCCGUCUUAUUUAAAUAUUUUUAUGAUUAGUAAUUUCAUUGUUAUUAUAUGAUAAAACAUGAGUAGUACUUUAUGCUGGACUUAUUUUUAAAUUUUUUUCCAUAAAUUUUUCAAAUAAGACGGAUGAUCAAAUAUUGGGAAAAAACCCUAAA